GCGCCGAUGGUGUAGCCUGGUCUAACACAGGGGCUUGCCGAGCCCCUGCCCCGGGUUCAAAUCCCGGUCGGCGCA
rnacentral:tRNA from 4 species